GCGCCUUGAGGUGCGGCGCGUGCGCACAGGACGGGACGGGAGGGCGGAGCGACUGCGCAGAUCAGGAAAAUUGUCACCUCUGGCCUCAGGGAAACUGAGGCUCUGAGCAGUUAAGAGGCCAACGAUCCAGGUUUAUGCUAUCAGUGUCUGAGAUACAAUUAAGUCACCUUUUUGGGUGACAUUUCCCUUGACUAGUACCUCAAGAUUAUGAUCCAGGUGGACCAUCCCUCCAUUGCCUCCAGACAUGUCUAUGACGCUACCUAGGGAUUGUGAAGAUUUACCACCUGGUGGAAAAUUAAAAAAAAAAAGACUUAUUCUGCAAAUUGACCAAGCUUAAGAGAUACAGCACUGAGAAUUCACCCACUACAGAGCUGGUAACCAGGCCUUCAGAGUAAGCUGUGAUGUAUAGCCAUUCUCCUCAGCAGCCUGUUUGACUGAGGGAUAUAGGAAUGACUGCCCUUACCCAUGUUUUUGUUCAGAUUUAUGGUUCUAAAUCUGAUGGAAAAUCUAUCAUUGGACCAUUUGAUUCUUCCUAAAGAAAGGCCAAACCACCUGUCAAACCCACGAGCAACACAGCAAUGGCUAAGCUGAAGAAGCCAAGUUAUAUGUCUAGCUCCUCUGUGGGUGGCAGGAUCCAGCUGUGGGGAGUCCAAGGUUCCUUGUGUUCUUCUGGCUUGACUAUGAUAUUUCCAAUUUGGAGGCACAAAGAAUUGAGAACUUGGGGAUCCACUGAGGUCUGAGGCAUGGUGGUACCAGAAGAAAUAAAGGGGCCAUCAGCAUGAAGCUGGUCUCCCAUUGACAGCACCCUGACUUCUCCAUCAGGUUCUAUCAGCAUGUCUACUGUGAGGUUGGUGACGCUGUCUGCAGACAGAGACGUGUGUUGCAGCAUGAACAGUGCUGGGAUUAGAACUGGCUGGUGGCACAGAGGUGAACAGCACUCUACACUGAAGGUAAACCGACAGGGUUGUUCAUUUUGUAAAACUGCUGUGCUCAUUUUAAAGGUAAAAUAAUAGCUUUCACUUACUGAAAGUUUACCAUGGUAUAGUCCUGUGCCAGGGUGUCCUACAUUGACCAUCUUGAAGCCGCCGGCUAGAGAUACUAUCUUUAUUUCGUGUCAUACAGCUAGGAAGUAGCAGAACUUGGACUUAAACCCAGUCGUGACCAGUGGGCCGCAGUAGAGCGGGAUCUGUGCCUGUGACUGCCAUUAGUGAGUCUAACACUCUGGUCACAUUACAUCAACUUACAGGCGCCAUGCUAAAUAUGGGAAAAUGGUAGAAUAGAUAACUGUUGUUGGCUAAACAGCAUAUGUACCCCCCUCUUUCAGAUUAAGGGUACCCUCACUUCCUUUCAAAAUGGUUCUUCCCUGUUCUUUGCUAUGGAAGAUUGAUUGAGGGGGAAUUCUACUCUUACCUCCAAUGAACAGCGUAGUAGCCUUGCUAGUGCAGUCUGGGGAUGGGACCCAGUCACUUGCUGGGAAACACCUCCCGGGGCCUCUGGGAAGGAAGGUGUGCGCUUCUGAGUUGUUACCUGAUGAGAUGUUCGCUCUUCCUAGUGCCUGCACCAGGAACGCAUUCUGGACGCUACUGGCAGCCAUCUUGCAAUGCAGAGAACAGCCAGCCUUAGGAGGGAAGCAGCCUGACACAUAGUUCAAAAAAGAGAUGAAAACUGUGGGUCCUCGGUGACAUUGCUGAGCCACCAUCUGGAGCCAGUUUCUCCUUAUAGGAAAAGCCAUUUAAGUUGAGGUUCUUGAAGCUUAAGCAUUUUAAAUGGACAUAACAAAAGGGUGGGCCAAAGCAUGUCCUCACAGUCCACAGUGGUAGCUGUAAGGAUGCAUGGUGAUUACUUUCACGAAGUUUGCACUCAUUACUUUCCACUGAGACAAUUAGGAACAGGCCCUCUUUAGGGUGCAAAAAUAUGUUGAAAGGAUGAAGAAAAAAGUGAAAGUGUCUCCAACAAGUCGGAAACUACUUCCCAUACCUACUUAAAGUUUAAGGACAGCUUUACUACUCUGUGUUUAAUUGUUAAUGGAGAAUUUAAAAAUCAAAAAUGCCAAGUUUGUCUUCGAUGAGAUGGAAAAUUAUGCUGCAGUAGAAGGUAACAUAAUGUAAAACAACCAGCUUUACCAAAGCACACAAAUGUUUUUGGUAUGUAAAAUUGCUUUGUAAAAUAUUUGCUCCAUCUGCUAAAAGCGGCAAAGACAAUUUUCCCUUGAUAGCUAAUGGCCCAUUUCGGGUGUGUGGCAAGUGAUUCGCUGCAGUGGCGGCUCUCAUUAAACGGAAUGUUGAAAACGCGGUAUAUAAUUCCAUACUUAGGUCGCAUUACCCACUCACUGCUUCCUGAGGAGUCGAUCCCUCAUUAGCGAGGCCUCUACCUUGCACCAACAUGCAGGCCUAGCAAUUGAUUCAACUUGAGAAGCAUUUUGUCCAACUGAGGCACAUAUGUUGUACUUCCAUUCCGAAGCUCAGCACAACUGCCUCACUGCAACCACAGCCACCGGAGAAGUUCAUUCCCUCUCCACUCUCCAGCACUGACUGCUGCUUCUCUUUCCCCUCGCCACAGGGAGCACAACUGUUGUCUUUCUUUCUUUCUUUUUUUUCUAGGCUCAUCCUGUCGCACUGCAUGCUGGGGGGUUUCAAUAGAUAAAGAUUAAGUGCUUCUAGAAAUUCUUAAUUGAACUUUACACAUACACAAAAGGAGGGAAAAACUCCCCCUCCCCCAGGGCAAAACUGCCAUCACACAAGCCUGACAAACGCUGCCCUCGCUUCCUGGUCUAUCUGUGAUUUCUCUCUUUAAAAGAGUUGCUUACAUUACACCCCAAAUUACUUCAACAUCUGCUAAAGGAACGAUUAGAAAUAAAUACAGGAAUCCAGGGUGGCUUAAGAAGAGAAGAAGAUGUUCGUGUUUGGAGAAUGAUACUGAAAAGUAGUUACUGCAGCAAAUGGCUGGGGAGAGACAAAUAUUCUUACCAUUGGAAAACAGUUUUCAAGGAAAUUAUACUGAAUUGUAAGAAUGACAGCCAGUAAGUACAUAUGACUGUUUUAAAGAUUAUACAGUGUUUUAAAGUGGGAAUCAGGCUGUGUUUAAAUCAACCAUAAGUAGAAGUAGCCAUAAUCUAGUAGAAAGCUACUGGAAAUAGGUUUUCUCCUAUCCAUGUAGAGACUUGGGACAUGUAGAGAAACACCUGGUUGGGAGGACUGAGGACGAUGAUGGACACACUCUUUAAAUGCAGAAUGGAGACAAAAGGAAGCACACAUUCCCUUUGGAUUGAUUCUCAUUCAAGUAAUGGGGAAGACUGAGUUCCAGGAAUGAAACUGAGUUUAUCAAGGGAGCCUUGUAUUUUAGUCUGUACACAAAGAAUGGGCAUGCAGCACUGUUUCUCAAUCAAGAGAAGAGAGGGACCUUUUUUGAUAUUUCCACACAUCAGAUACAUGGAGUCAGGAGGAUGUAGCAGCGUUGUAAAUUGAUUGUUUUCUUUCCACAGACCAUGCACAGGACUAGACAGUGAGGGUUUGUCUAGAGCCUGGCUCAGUUACAGAGAGUCCUAGACUUCUCAAGGGCAUCCCUGGUCCACCAAGGGGCACCGAGGACAGAUGACCAGUAGCACAUGGCACUGUGACUGUCAGAGAGUGAAAGCUUUCUUUGAAUCCAUUCCAAAAGCCUAAGCCUGCUCUGUGGUUUUCAGCAGCACAGACAUUUCCAGAAGAACUCCAGCGGGACCUUCCCGGGUGUGAAAACACUAACCAAUCCUCCUUUCUCUUAUCUUCUGCUUUAUUCCUUCCUUCCACGCAGUUAUUGUGAAAAACUGGCAGUUAAAUUCAAUUGAUUCAAAUUUUUCUGGAUCCAUAUGGCCGCCAACCCUGGAGCUGAAGCGGCGGCGCCUCGCCUCUGUUCUCUAGCAUUUGCCUCUCCUCCCGUCCCCAGAUGGUGGGAGUAACAUUUAAACCUCCUUUUCUCUGCCUUGUACAAUAGACCUUGGCACCAUUUCAACUGUUUACUCCGGUAAUUAACAGCUCUGAUACCACAACAAUUACAACUCCUCCACUCUCCACAAUAAUGCUAUGAAUUAGUGAGAGCUAAUGGCUGGAAGGUAGAGUGUUUCCAGACUGUGAGAUCUGUGCAUUUUUAGAAUAAAAUAAAAGGUACAAACAGCACGCUUGCAGUAGACAAUGAUUACCUAGUAAUUAGUUUACACAAAGCUUCCUAUUUAAUGGCAAAAUGCUGUAAUUAACGUGUGACAGAAAAUCAAAGGGUACUUUGUAAGCAUAUGAAAAAUUAACACUGCAGGCCCAUAGCUUUAUGUACUGAUUAGAAGCAUAUUAAAUCAAUAGGACACACAAGCCAACAGCUUGUAUAGCUGAUUAUUAUAGGUCCUCGGAAGGGGUGCCCAGGCUUUCAUUUAACUGGGGAGGCAAUUUUCCUUCUCCUGUCAUCAUCCUCAGGCACAGAGAAGCACCUCAAACACAUCCCUGGCAGCACCAUGAAAAUAACCACUCAACUGGAAGAAAACGUUCUAAGUCAUUCUCAGAGCUAAGGAAAAAUAUGUACAUGAUUAAGACUUUCCAGUGAUCUUGGUGACAUGCUGCUAUACUAAUUAGAAAAUAUGCCAACUGGAACCAGAAGCAUCCAGACCCAAUGUUUUGGUCAGAAUAAUCUCUACUAUAUCAAGCCUCUUUAUUCAACAUGAAGAAAGCUCUAAGAAACACAUUGUUUUCUAUCCUCAAAUGGUAAGAGGCCAGGAUGCUAUCUAGUGUUAUUCUUUUAAAGGUAUUAAUUAGGAAAAUCAUAACAGAGAGAGAAUUAGAUCAUUAUGCUGAGGUUUUGAUAGCAUCUUGUAUAAUAGUAAUUGAUGUACACUACAGUAGUCUUGAAGGCUACAAAGCCUCCUAAAUAACCUUGUGAAUUGCCAAAGAACUGCUACUUUGUAUUUAUUUGCUCACUAUUGCUUAUAUUUUCUCAUAAUAGAACUUUAAUUAAUAUUCAUAAUAAAAAGCAACAAAGCAACAAUAUCUUAAACGUCCACAUGCUAAGACUAUUGCUGGCCAAGUCACAGGAUACACUUAACCCUCAUCACAGCUCCAUGUACACCUGUACUGUUAUCUAUUUCCAGAUAAACAAACGGCAACUUAAAGAGUCAUGGUGAUUUGGUUGUGGCUGUUUCCCAGGAAGAUCUGAGAGAGGCAGAUCUGUGGGGCUCGUGAGGCCAGCUACCCUCUGCUUUAAAAGGCUUACCACAUAAACCUGAAUUAUGUCUAGAAACAAGUAAGACAAAAACAAAGAACAUUUCUGGUGGCUUGUGUGUGUAAAUGAAGAAUAAGUUGAAUUGCUUCUCUUGGUUUUAGUGCUAUAUCUGAUUGUGAAGGUAGGCUAUUCAAUAUGUGAUAAUUUAUAGGCUGAUUCAAAUAAGUGUAUCUCUCUGUAACUGGGCAAAAGGUAAUACAUAGAAUUCUCUGUUGUCAACUAUUUACAUUGACAGGGAUGCAUGUGGUGAGGCAUCUGGGCUUUCUAAGGAUUCCUGACAGGCUCCUCCCUUCUACAGCUGAGGUAUGCAUACUGACACCUCUCCUCGCCUCCCAGUUCACUGUCUUGUAGGAAAGGGGAGCACUCCAGAGUAGUGAGUGUGGCCCAGGGACAUCUGUGGGAAGUAGAAGAUCUGCCAGAGCAGCAGCACAUGGCACGCCCACAGAGCGGCCGCAGAGGGGAGCUUCUCCAGGAGCUUAAGGAAGUUUCCUCUGCAGCGCUCAGCUGUGCGUUCUGCUAAUGGUUUGGGAGGCCACUAGCAUCUUCUUAUCAAUGCAGCACGUACAACAAGAGCCGGAGCACUGUUGCUAGAUACAGCAUUCUACUCAUGGGGAUUUCUCCCGAGGGGGAAAAAAAGCAGAAUUUGUUUUUGUUUUAAGGGCAUAUACUAUAUAGACAUUUCUCUGGUCCCCAAUUAAAAAACAAACAAACAAACAAACAAACAAAAGCAAAACAAAACUGGAGAAGAGCUUAAGUUUUCAGACAGGUGAGUGUUUUAGCAUAUUAGAAUUAAUAAAAGGGAAUAACAUGCAGCCAUUAAUUGUGAUGAAAAUGGGUAAAGGGGAAAAUGGCUAAGUUCUUAUGUUUAAUUAGAUUACUCACAAUUAUUGAGGCAAUGAGAGACAACACACAUUUGAGAAUUAAUUCAGAGAAUGAAGGCAAUAGUAAAAGUGAUUUUACACUUACCUGAUUAGACAUCUCUCUCUGAUAUUGUUACAGUACCUUUUAACUUUCCUAAACAUUCUGUGGUGAUGAGUCAAUGCCUCUUUGAGCUCACCUUGUAAAGCCCUAUCACAUUCUCCAGGAGGCACUUGGGUCAGUCAGUCACCUGAGAGUGGUUCCCAUCACUGCUUACAAGGCUUCAGAGGGGAAGCUGUUCUGAGCACACUGUGGUGGCUGCUCCUCCUUUGUAAUGCUAUGCUUGUUUGCUGACCUAGUUCUCUAAUGAUCUAAGUAUGGUUUAUUCUGCCUUUCUAAGUUUGGAAGCCCUGGAUUCAGAUCUUCCCUUUUGGGUGAUAUUUAAAUGAAUAUCAAAUUCUAACAUUCUAACAGUAAGACAAAAUAAUAUGAGAGACUGAAGAUUUACCCUCUAACAAAAUAGAAAGCAGCCACAAGAAAGACUGUGAGCACAGAAAGCAGACUGUGUCGCCAGCAUGUGUCAGGAAGGCGUCUCUCCUACAAGUGUGUUUUAAGUCUUCAUCCCUACUAACUGAAACACAUCCCCUGACUCAGAAGCAGGGAAUCUUGCAUUUGUGCAAGUGGAUUCACAAACCUUAGCAAGCAGUGUACACCCAGCAACUGAGCUUCUUGGGACCCAGUGGGUGAAGCGCGGGGAGCUGGCUUCAUUAGACAACAGGAGGACAAACAGUGGCUUGCUACCAGCCACCAGGGAAAAAUGAAAAUUUGUGUUUUGUUCCAGUGAGGCCUUUCUGUUUUGAAAUAUGCCUAUGUCUCCAUACUGAACUUUCAAAGGUGACUAGGCUUUUUAGCAUCUGAUUAUUUGUGUGACUUUGCUUCAGGUCUUAACUGCAAACAGCCAAAGCUCAGUUCAAAAUUAGGAAAAUAGGAAAAAGAGAUGAUCUUUGUGUUGUGUGUCGGUGCCUACACCAGGUCCUGCCUACAUUUAAGACUAGUGUCUGCGUAAGACUCUACAGCAGCGCCCAACCCACACACAGCACUGCUUUCAUCUGUUGUCUACAAUGUACCAAUACGAGAAUUCACAGCAUCAUGUCACAAACUGCUAUGCAAAUGAUGCUAUUUGUAAGUAUUAACAUAAUUCAGUGCUUACAGUCAUAUUCUCAUUUCUAAUAAUUCUUUCAGAAUGGAGUCUUUCUCUGGACUCUUAGCCUGCAGGAUAGUCUUUCAUCAAGAAGCUGAAAUUUUUAAUAACCUGCCAGCAUAUGUUUUGUAUGUGCCAGGCUAGGCUUGGUGACACAACAUCUUCAUUAUGAAAAGAAACAGGUCUACAGACUGUAAUAGGACAUUAAAACACGCUUGUGCUCAUAAAGUAAUGCUUUGAUGUCUAAAUGCACAGCAUCACAAUGGUCUCCUGGAACAAAGGUGCAUUCCACCUAAAUUCUCAAUAAAUACCCUCAGGUCACCUCCACUCAGAGCAGGGUUUCCCUUUGAAGGCAUAAGCUGCCCUUGAGUCCCCACAAGAGGGGAGAGAGUGCACACAUGCCUUGUUUUAAUUUUUAUCUUUGGCUUCUCACACUUCACAGCCAAGCACAACCCAUACAUUAUAGCAGGAUUUCUGAAUAAUUAUUUUUCCCUGUUAAGUUUUUAAAAAUGAUUUAAAGAGAUCAUUAAUUAUUUAAGAGUUUCAAAUUUAAUAACAUUAACAACAGUGCUAAAUGUAUUUGGUAACAAUUUAAAAUAAUUGAAAUUAAAUAAUCAGCAGCGAGGCUCUAAGCACAGUUCAGCCAAUGUCAGGACUGUAAAUAUUCUUAAAACUCAAAGUCAAACAUUGUACAUCUAUCAUAGUCUAAUGUCAGAUAAUUCUUUAAAAAUUAUUGGUUUGAAACACUGAGGCCAGAAAACACUGUACACGGUAGUGUUUCAAUUCUUUAAAUGAAAGUGCUAGACUUUUCCAUGGUUUAAACUCAACAGCUUUGCUUCAAAAGGACAAAAUCCUGUUCAAAGAGAACGUAACAGAAACCUCUAUGGGCCUCAAAAUUAAAUACAUUUUCUUUGCUUUAUUUUUUUUCUAGAAGAGUAAUUCACUGUGGUGUCCUUUAAAUAAUAUGUGAAGAGCUAGCCAUGACAGCCACUGCGUUUAGUCCACUCACUGUUGGAGGGAGAAGAAAGCCCAGAAUAGAUCAUGGGAGGACCGACCCAUUUAUCAAAGGGAGCUCUCCCUCCUGACUGGUCUCGAGAUGUAUUCAUCAUCUCACUUGCCCAGGAAUAAUGUGGCUCCCACCAGUGUGCCCUUCCUUUCUAUCACUUGUGUCUUGAUUCAUAGACUUCUGUAGUGGGAUGCGCAAAGCAGAUGCAAAUCACUGCACAGUCCACCGCUAUGCCUGCUGGGAGUGAAGGAACCAGUUAAGGAGUUUGUCUUUCAAUCUUCUUUUUUCUAGCAGGUCACCCAAAACAGGGUCAUGCAAUAAAGAGAAGCUGAGUAUAAGGAUACAGUGUGGGACAGUGUUUAGAGAUCAGGUUAAACAUCAGCCACAUACAACUAUUAAGCAAAAUUGGAACAGAUUGGGCUGUAUAAAUUCAUCUCACCAACAUAUAUGGAAAGGUUUACACACCUCCACUCAGAGCCAGAGUCACUGAGCACAGCUUUGCUGGGAAUUUUCUUCUGGGGUCUAUUCUUCUCUGAGCAUCUCACAGGAACUGGUAGUAACAUAAAUUUCUUUGGAAUAUCUUCAAAAACAUGGCUUUUGACAGAAUGCUAUUAUACAUUAGCUUCCAGUGAGCACCAUUUAAUAAUAGAAUUUCUCCUAAUAAAAUACAGCUAUCUUAAUUCCAGCAGUUGAUAGAAGCACAGGGUGUGCUCAGGGCGGAGGCCAAGACUCUCAGUGCUCCCCGAAUGUGGCAUUUUAGUUAUUGCUUAGCUAUCAUAAUUAUUUUGAAGAUGUGGGAGAAAAAAACCAUUUUGAGCCCCCAAACUGUACAUUUAACUAACCCAAUGAGCCCAUUUCUGCUCUUCAUUUAGACUGAAGCCCAGGAAAGGCUGCAAUGAUAGAUAACAGCUGAGUCAGGGAGAAAGGAUUAUCACCUAACUGUCCACAGCACUGUGGUGUAAGUUACCACUGAACACUCACUUGUGCCCACUUCUUCUUCCAG